rnacentral:rRNA from 1 species
UACGUAGGGGGCAAGCGUUGUCCGGAAUCAUUGGGCGUAAAGAGCGCGUAGGCGGCCCGGUAAGUCCGCUCUGAAAGUCCGGGGCUCAACCCCGGGAGGCGGGCGGAUACUGUCGGGCUAGAGUCCGGAAGAGGCGAGUGGAAUUCCUGGUGUAGCGGUGAAAUGCGCAGAUAUCAGGAGGAACACCAAGGGCGAAGGCAGCUCGCUGGGACGGUACUGACGCUGAGGCGCGAAAGCGUGGGGAGCGAACAGG